rnacentral:antisense_RNA from 1 species
AAGAGGCCACACCGGCUGGAGGGUGGGUGUCUGACCCUCUGAGGGCGCGGGGCCAGGGCUUAGGGGCGGGGCCUGGAGAAUGAGAGUGGCAUCGCUCAAGACCAGGCUCAAGCUCAAGGACAGAGCCCAGGCUCAGGUAGAGAGGAACCACAAGGACGGGCCACCAUCAGCACUGUGCUGAGACCCAGGCACUAUGGAAUUCAGAAGAUAGGAGUCUAGCAGCCUCCAGACAGGGCAAGGAGGGGACAGAGAAAGAUGUGGGUGCAGGAGGCACAGACACCUCUCCUUCCCUGCCUGCUGAGCCACCCUCCCCAGGUCUCACCUGCCCUGUCCCCCAGGUGAGAAAUCUGCAGUGAAGAAAGGUACAUCCCAAGGGGACACCGAUAGUAAGCAGUGGAGCUGGGAUUCCAGACACGUGGCCGGGCCUCUGCAGGAAGAAAUCAAACGUGUGGAAGGGUCGGGGAGAGGCGAUGCCUAGAAGGGAUUUUCCCGUAUUCUCUUAGUGGUGGGGCCCAGGAUGUGGCAGCUGGUGGUGUUGGCUGAGCAGUCCCUCUCCAGGGGAAGGGGCUGGAUGAGUUCAGAGAGUUUGGCUGGGCGUGCCAGGCGCAACAGCAUGAUGUCCUGGUCAUGGCUGGCGGCAUCAUAGCCAGGGUGGAUCACAGCCCGGACAACAGAACUCUGCUCCUGGGAACUCUCCCUUUGCCGAAGGUUAUGCUUCCCCAGGAAGACCUGAAGAUUCCUGGGAAGGAAGAGGGCUAGGUCUCACCUGGAGCCCUUGGGCUAAAGUUGAGGCUUCAGAGAGGGCUGGGAAGUCAUGAAUCAGCUGGCCUGCUCCUCCCA